CCUACGGGGGGCUGCAGUGGGGAAUAUUGCACAAUGGGCGAAAGCCUGAUGCAGCAACGCCGCGUGAGCGAUGAAGGCCUUCGGGUUGUAAAGCUCUGUCUUCGCUGACGAAACCUGACGGUACCUUAGGAGGAAGCCCCGGCUAACUACGUGCCAGCAGCCGCGGUAAUACGUAGGGGGCGAGCGUUAUCCGGAAUCACUGGGCGUAAAGGGUGCGUAGGCGGCCGAUUAAGCCAGGGGUGAAAGGCUACGGCUCAACCGUAGUAAGCCCUUGGAACUGAUUGGCUUGAGUGCAGGAGAGGAGAGUGGAAUUCCUAGUGUAGCGGUGAAAUGCGUGGAUAUUAGGAGGAACACCAGUGGCGAAGGCGACUCUCUGGACUGUAACUGACGCUGAGGCACGAAAGCGUGGGGAGCAAACAGGAUUAGAUACCCUUGUAGUC
rnacentral:rRNA from 1 species